GAUGAACGCUGGCGGCGUGCCUAAUACAUGCAAGUCGAGCGAACAGACGAGGAGCUUGCUCCUCUGACGUUAGCGGCGGACGGGUGAGUAACACGUGGAUAACCUACCUAUAAGACUGGGAUAACUUCGGGAAACCGGAGCUAAUACCGGAUAAUAUAUUGAACCGCAUGGAUCAAUAGUGAAAGACGGUUUUGCUGUCACUUAUAGAUGGAUCCGCGCCGCAUUAGCUAGUUGGUAAGGUAACGGCUUACCAAGGCAACGAUGCUUAGCCGACCUGAGAGGGUGAUCGGCCACACUGGAACUGAGACACGGUCCAGACUCCUACGGGAGGCAGCAGUAGGGAAUCUUCCGCAAUGGGCGAAAGCUUGACGGAGCAACGCCGCGUGAGUGAUGAAGGUCUUCGGAUCGUAAACCUCUGUUAUUAGGGAAGAACAAAUGUGUAAGUAACUAUGCACGUCUUGACGGUACCUAAUCAGAAAGCCACGGCUAACUACGUG
rnacentral:rRNA from 1 species